rnacentral:rRNA from 1 species
CUACGGGAGGCAGCAGUCGAGAAUUUUUCUCAAUGGGGGAAACCCUGAAGGAGCGACGCCGCGUGGGGGAUGAAUGGCUUCGGCCCGUAAACCCCUGUCAUUUGCGAACAAACCUUUCCACCUAAUACGUGGAGAGCUGAUAGUAGCGGAAGAGGAAGGGACGGCUAACUCUGUGCCAGCAGCCGCGGUAAUACAGAGGUCCCAAGCGUUGUUCGGAUUCACUGGGCGUAAAGGGUGCGUAGGCGGUCGGGUAAGUCUGAUGUGAAAUCUCUGAGCUCAACUCAGAAAUGGCAUUGGAUACUAUUCGGCUAGAGGAGUGGAGGGGGGACUGGAAUUCUCGGUGUAGCAGUGAAAUGCGUAGAUAUCGAGAGGAACACCAGUGGCGAAGGCGAGUCCCUGGACAUUUCCUGACGCUGAGGCACGAAAGCUAGGGGAGCAAACAGGAUUAGAUACCCGUGUAC